GGUGUUAGAUUGGUUGAUGGGGUGAGUCUAUAUGAUGGACUUGUGGAGAUCCUUGUGGGUGAUGUUUGGGGUCCGGUGUGUGGAUACCAUUACAAAACAAUCGAUUCCCAGAUUUCCGCUGACGACGGAGUGUUUUGUCGAAUGCUCGGAUUAAGUAGAUCUGCAGGAGGAAAUUAUGAUAGAUGGAAAGGUGAUACGACAAGAAGAUCCUUAUUGAAACUCUCGUGUCCUCCAAAUGCGGCUCAUUUAAAUGAUUGCAACUACAUGGCAACAUACACGUGUUUCUGGCAGUAUGGUAUUAUUUGUGAAGGCCCUCCUUUGAAUAUCAGCUCUGUUCAGCUCGCCGGUGGAUCAAGCAAGAGGGACGGUCGUUUAGAAUUGCAUGUUGAUAACAAGACAGGGACAGUUUGUCAGAAAGACUUUGGC